UAGGGAAUCUUCCACAAUGGACGCAAGUCUGAUGGAGCAACGCCGCGUGAGUGAAGAAGGCUUUCGGGUCGUAAAACUCUGUUAUUGAAGAAGAACGUGUGUGGCAGUAACUGGUCAUGCAGUGACGGUAUUCAAUCAGAAAGUCACGGCUAACUACGUGCCAGCAGCCGCGGUAAUACGUAGGUGGCAAGCGUUGUCCGGAUUUAUUGGGCGUAAAGCGAGUGCAGGCGGUCUUUUAAGUCUGAUGUGAAAGCCUUCGGCUUAACCGAAGAAGGGCAUCGGAAACUGGGAGACUUGAGUGCAGAAGAGGAGAGUGGAACUCCAUGUGUAGCGGUGAAAUGCGUAGAUAUAUGGAAGAACACCAGUGGCGAAGGCGGCUCUCUGGUCUGUAACUGACGCUGGAGGCUACGAAAGCGUGGGUAGC
rnacentral:rRNA from 1 species